rnacentral:pre_miRNA from 10 species
UCUCAGGCUGUGUCCCUCUAGAGGGAAGCGCUUUCUGUUGUCUGAAAGAAAAGAAAAUGGUUCCCUUUAGAGUGUUACGCUUUGAGA